CAGGGGCUGAGGGGAGAGACGGAGACAGGGGCUGAGGGGAGAGACGGAGACAGGGGCUGAGGGAGAGACGGAGACAGGGGCUGAGGGGAGAGACGGAGACAGGGGCAGAGGGGAGAGACGGAGACAGGGGCUGAGGGAGAGACGGAGACAGGGGCUGAGGGGAGAGACGGAGACAGGGGCUGAGGGGAGAGACGGAGACAGGGGCUGAGGGGAGAGACGGAGACUUGGGCUGAGGGGAGAGACGGAGCCAGGGGCUGAGGGGAGAGACGGAGCCAGGGGCUGAGGGGAGAGACUGGAGCCAGGGGCUGAGGGGAGAGACGGAGCCAGGGGCUGAGGGGAGAGACGGAGCCAGGGGCUGAGGGGAGAGACGGAGCCAGGGGCUGAGGGGAGAGACGGAGCCAGGGGCUGAGUGGAGAGACGGAGACAGGGGCUGAGUGGAGAGACGGAGACAGGGGCUGAGUGGAGAGACGGAGACAGGGGCUGAGGGGAGAGACGGAGACAGGGGCUGAGGGAGAGACGGAUACAGGGGCUGAGGGGAGAGACGGAUACAGGGGCUGAGGGAAGAGACGGAGACAGGGGCUGAGGGGAGAGACGGAUACAGGGGCUGAGGGAAGUGACGGAUACAGGGGCUGAGGGGAGAGACGGAGCCAGGGGCAGAGGGGAGAGACGGAGCCAGGGGCUGAGUGGAGAGACAGGGGCAGAGACAGGGGCAGAGGGCAGAGACAGGGGCAGAGACAGAGACAGGGGCAGAGGGGAGAGACGGAGCCAGGGGCAGAGGGGAGAGACGGAGCCAGGGGCUGAGUGGAGAGACAGGGGCAGAGGGGAGAGACAGGGGCAGAGAGGAGAGACAGGGGCAGAGAGGAGAGACAGGGGAGGAGA
ensembl:lncRNA